rnacentral:rRNA from 1 species
GACGAACGCUGGCGGCGUGCUUAACACAUGCAAGUCGAACGGAAAGGCCCUGCUUUUGUGGGGUGCUCGAGUGGCGAACGGGUGAGUAACACGUGAGUAACCUGCCCUUGACUUUGGGAUAACUUCAGGAAACUGGGGCUAAUACCGGAUAGGAGCUCCUGCUGCAUGGUGGGGGUUGGAAAGUUUCGGCGGUUGGGGAUGGACUCGCGGCUUAUCAGCUUGUUGGUGGGGUAGUGGCUUACCAAGGCUUUGACGGGUAGCCGGCCUGAGAGGGUGACCGGCCACAUUGGGACUGAGAUACGGCCCAGACGCCUACGGGAGGCAGCAGGGGGGAAUAUUGCACAAUGGGCGGAAGCCUGAUGCAGCAACGCCGCGGGCGGGAUGACGGCCUGCGGGUUGUAAACAGCUUUCGCCUGUGACGAAGCGGGAGUGACGGUAAUGGGUAAAGAAGCACCGGCUAACUACGUG